UACGGAGGGUGCAAGCAUUAAUCGGAUUUAUUGGGCGUAAAGGGCGUGUAGGCGGGGAUGAAAGUCAGAUGUGAAAUCCCGGGGCUCAACCUCGGAACAGCAUUUGAAACUCCAUUUCUUGAGGGUAGGCGGGGAAAACGGAAUUCCACAUGUAGCGGUGAAAUGCGUAGAUAUGUGGAGGAACACCGGUGGCGAAGGCGGUUUUCUAGCUUAUACCUGACGCUGAGGCGCGAAAGCAAGGGGAGCAAACAGG
rnacentral:rRNA from 1 species